rnacentral:lncRNA from 1 species
ACAUACCUCUAAAGUGAAUUUCUUUCUAAUCAUUUCCAGUGCCAGUUUUACACUCCAUUUGCCGUCAGUGAAAAUGUGGGCGGCAGAUACACCACGUAUUUAUCAUCACUCGAGUUCACCAUAUCAUACAGGAAAAGAUAUCUUGAUUCUCCUCACAGUGAAUGUCUGGAACCAAAGGCAUCAUCUUUUACCUAACCUGUUUUCACCAGCCUCUUUUCUAUUAUCCUUUAGGGUCUUCAUCUGA